UUUCUCCCUCAUUCUAUCUUCUUCUUCCUCCCUCACUCCUCCUUAUCCCCUUCAGCCAGCCAUGGCCUGUUCUUCUUCCAUUAUAGGAGUUCCCUCCAUAUACCAAACCAACCCUUCACGAAGACCUAUCCCUACCCCACUUUUAUCCCUUCCUUACUCCAAUGAAAAAUCCCAUUUUAUUAAUGUUCGUCUCAGACAUGCUUCUCUUGUGGCUUCUGCUGUGGUAACUCCAAAUUCUUCAGUUCUUAGUGAAGAAGCGUUCAAGGGAAUUGGGGGUUUUGGGAAAGACUCUCUGAAUGUUAGCAGCGAACCUGAAUACGAUUCUGAGUCUGAGGUGGAGGAUGAUGAUGAGUCAGGAACUGAGGAUGAACUUGCUAUUUCUAAACUGGGUUUACCUCAGAGACUUGCUGACU
rnacentral:lncRNA from 1 species